GACGAACGCUGGCGGCGUGCUUAACACAUGCAAGUCGAGCGGUAAGGCCCUUUCGGGGGUACGACGAGCGGCGAACGGGUGAGUAACACGUGGGUGACCUGCCCUCAGCUCUGGGAUAAGCCUGGGAAACCGGGUCUAAUACUGGAUAUGACUCCAUGACGCAUGUUGGUGGGGUGGAAAGCCUUGUGCGGCUGAGGAUGGGCCCGCGGCCUAUCAGCUUGUUGGUGGGGUGANGGCCUACCAAGGCGACGACGGGUAG
rnacentral:rRNA from 1 species